GACGAACGCUGGCGGCGUGCUUAACACAUGCAAGUCGAACGAAGUGGGGAACGGGUGAGUAACACGUAAUCAACGUGCCCUUCAGAGGGGGACAACAGUUGGAAACGACUGCUAUUACCACCUCAUGAGGCACGGGAUUGCGUUGGAUAGGCUGGUGGGAGGGGUAAUGGCUCACCAAGGCUAUGAUCAGUAGCCGGCCUGAGAGGCUGAACGGCCACAGUGGGACUGGGACGCGGCCCAGACUCCUACGGGAGGCAGCAGUAGGGAAUCUUCCGCAAUGGACGAAAGUCUGACGGAGCAACGCCGCGUGAGUGAGGACGGUCUUCGGGUUUUAAAGCUCUGUUAAUCGGGACGCGGUACCGGAAUAGAAAGCCACGGCUAACUACGUGCCAGCAGCCGCGGUAAUUC
rnacentral:rRNA from 1 species